rnacentral:rRNA from 1 species
AAAGCGUGCGCAGGCGGUUAUGUAAGACAGAUGUGAAAUCCCCGGGCUCAACCUGGGAACUGCAUUUGUGACUGCAUGGCUAGAGUACGGUAGAGGGGGAUGGAAUUCCGCGUGUAGCAGUGAAAUGCGUAGAUAUGCGGAGGAACACCAAUGGCGAAGGCAAUCCCCUGGACCUGUACUGACGCUCAUGCACGAAAGCGUGGGGAGCAAACAGGAUUAGAUACCCGGGU